CCUUUUCACAGAUGUAAACAUAAACAUUCUAAAUGGACCCAAGUUGAUUUCCUGUUACAGCGUAUGUAAAACAUAGCCUGACGUUGCCAUACAUAGAUUCUAGUCAGAACUGCUUACCAAUCUCCCAACCUCAAAUGUUGUAGGCGGGGCUAAGUUCGGCUGGCAUCCAGGCUAGUUAGCACUGUUCCUC